rnacentral:rRNA from 1 species
CAAUAACGUAUAUUAAAGUUGUUGCAGUUAAAAAGCUCGUAGUUGGAUUUCUGGUGGGAGCGAUCGGUCUGGCGCUUAGCGCGAGUACUUGCAUCGUCUCCGGCCAUCCUUGGGGAGAGUCUGUCUGGCAUUAAGUUGUCGGGCAGAGGAUCCUCAUCGUUUACUGUGAAAAAAUUAGAGUGUUCAAAGCAGGCUUAUGCCGUUGAAUAUAUUAGCAUGGAAUAAUAAGAUAGGACUUUGGUACUAUUUUGUUGGUUUGCGCACCAAAGUAAUGAUUAAUAGGGACAGUUGGGGGUAUUCGUAUUCCGUUGUCAGAGGUGAAAUUCUUGGAUUUACGGAAGACGAACUACUGCGAAAGCAUUUACCAAGGAUGUUUUCAUUAA